ensembl:lncRNA
CCAUGGUCACCUUGGUCACCUUGGUGGUCAUCGUGGUCACCAUGGUCAUUGUGGUCACCUUGGUCAGCCUGGUGGUCAUGGUGAUCAUUGUGGUCAUGGUGGUCACCUUGGUGCUCAGCGUGGUCACCUUGGUCAGCCUGGUGGUCAUGGUGGUCAUUGUGGUCAUGGUGGUCACCAUGGUGGUCAUUGUGGUCAGCUUCUUGGUCACCCUGCUGGUCUUUGUGGUCACUGUGGUCACCCUGGGGGUCAGUCUGGUGGUCACUCCAGUCACUCUGGUCCUUCUGGUGGUCACUCAGGUCACCCCAGUGGUCACUCAGGUUCUUCUGGUGGUCACUCAGCUUCUUUUGAUGGUCACUCAGGUCACUCUGGUGGUCAUUCUGGUCACUCAGGUUCUUCUGGUGGUCCCUCAGGUCACUCAGGUGGUCACCCUGGUCACUCUGGUCACUCAGGUGGUCAGCCUGGUCACUCUGGUGGUCACUCAGGUCACUCCAGUGGUCACCCUGGUCACUCCGGUGGUCACCCUGGUCCUUUUGGUGGUCACUCAGGUUCUUCAGGUGGUCACUCUGGUGGUCACUGGGGUUCUUCAGGUGGUCACUGGGGUUCUUCAGGUGGUCACUCUGGUGGUCACUGGGGUUCUUCAGGUGGUCACUGAGGUUCUUCAGGUGGUCACUGGGGUGGUCACUCUGGUGGUCACUGGGGUGUCCGGAGCUGUCCUGGUGGCCCAGGGCCACCGAGCAGUUGGGGAAGUGCCGGGGCCCCGAGAAGUCGCCCUCGAAGCACCUGGGGGGCAAAUUGGGGUCAAUUUGGGGCUUUUUGGGGCAUUUUGGGGCGUUUUGGGUUAUUUUGGGCCAUUUUGGGGCGUUUUGGGUCAUUUUGGGCCAUUUUGGGGCUAUUUUGGGUCAUUUUGGGGCGUUUUCGGUCAUUUUGGGGCGUUUUGGGCCAUUUUGGGGCGUUUUGGGGCCAUUUUGGGGCUUUUUAGGUCAUUUUGGGCCAUUUUGGGGCAUUUUGGGGCAUUUUGGGCCAUUUUGGGGCGUUUUGGGGCCAUUUUGGGGCUUUUUAGGUCGUUUUGGGCCAUUUUGGGGCCAUUUUAGGGCAUUUUGGGCCAUUUUGGGGCUAUUUUGGGCCAUUUUGGGUCAUUUUGGGCCAUUUUGGGUCAUUUUGGGGCUAUUUUGGGUAAUUUUGGGUCAUUUUGGGUCAUUUUGGGCCAUUUUGGGCCAUUUUGGGGCCAUUUUGGGUCAUUUUGGGGCUUUUAAGGUCAUUUUAGGCCAUUUUGGGGCCAUUUUGGGCAGUUUUUGGGCUUUUGGGGCCAUUUUUGGGCAUUUUGGGGCGUUUCGGGGCAUUUUGGGGCAUUUUGGGGCAUUUUGGGGCUUUUUGGGGGCAUUUUGGGGCGUUUUGGGGCAUUUUGGGGUAUUUUUGGGGCGUUUUGGGGCAUUUUGGGGCUUUUUGGGGUUUUGCUGAGGGGCGGCUUGGGAACCUCAAAAUCAUCCCAAAAAACUCCAAAAUUGGCCAAAAACCACCAAAAUUGGCCCCAAAAAAAACCCCCAAAUUGGCCCAAAACAACCUCAAAAUUGACCCCAAAAAAAACCCAAAAUCGACCCAAAAAACCCCAAAACUGCCCCAAAAAAAACCCCCAAAACUGGCCCAAAACCCCCCAAAACUGGACCCAAAAAAACCUCCAAAAGUGGCCCAAAAAAACCCAAAAUUGGCCAAAAAAACCCCCCAAAAUCGACCCAAAAAACCCCAAAACUGCCCCAAAAAAACCCCAAAACUGGAUCCCAAAAAACCUCCAAAAGUGUCCCAAAAAACCCCAAAACUGCCCAAAAAAAAACCCCCAAAAGUGGCCCAAAAAAACCCCAAAACUGCCCAAAAAAAACCCCCAAAAAUGGCCCAAAAACCCCCAAAUCUGGACCCAAAAAAACCUCCAAAAAUGGCCCAAAAAACCCCAAAACUGCCCCAAAAAAAACCCCAAAAUUGGCCAAAAAAAACCCCCAAAAUCGACCCAAAAAAACCCCAAAAUUGACCAGAAAAAAAUCCCCAAAAGUGGCCCAAAAAAACCCCAAAACUGCCCCAAAAAAACCUCCAAAAAUGGCC